GCAACUGAAAAAAAAAAAAAAUCAUGGAUGUGAACGUGUCCCAUAGGAAACCAUGUAACGGAACUGUAUAGUGUGUUUCUGUAAAAAGCACCAAAAAACAGAGGUGUGACCCCGGCCUGAGAUGUUUAGUAACAUAAUGGGGUUAAAAAAUAAAAAUAAGUACAAAAAGAGCAAAUGAUCACUACUGUAAGGGGAUCAUUUAGGUACAUGGAAGAGUCCUGGACUCAAGACUUCGGGAGGUUGGAGAUGAAUGAACGUGGAAGAUGGUUGAUCUCUUUAGAAAGGACAAUGUGGAAGUGAGAACAUGGUUAUGUAGGUGGGAGGAUGGUAGCUUUGCUCUAUAGAGAAAGGGCUCUGGGGAGGUGAGGACAUGCAGGUACAUGGAAUGAUUGUGGACUUGCGGUUGGUCACUACAGAAAGAACCUUGCAGUAGUGUGGACAUUUAGGUAGGUGGUUGGGGUAUGAUAUGAGGACAUAAGUAUUCAUGGAAGGAUGGUCUCUACAGAAGGAGCAUUGGGGAAAUGAGGACAUGCGGGUACACAGAAAGAUGAUCUCUACAAAAAAAAUCUUGGGGGUGGAGAUUGGCAGGUGAAGACAUGCAGGUUCAUGGAAGGAUGGGCAGGUGAAGACAUGCAGGUUCAUGGAAGGAUGGGCAGGUGAAAACGUGCAGGUUCAUGGAAGAAUGGGCAGGUGAAGACAUGCAGCUUCAUGGAAGGAUGGGAAAGUGAAAACGUGCAGGUUCAUGGAAGAAUGGGCAGGUGAAGACAUGCAGGUUCAUGGAAGGAUGGGCAGGUGAAAACGUGCAGGUUCAUGGAAGAAUGGGCAGGUGAAGACAUGCAGGUUCAUGGAAGGAUGGGCAGGUGAAGACGUGCAGGUUCAUGGAAGAAUGGGCAGGUGAAGACGUGCAGGUUCAUGGAAGAAUGGGCAGGUGAAGACGUGCAGGUUCAUGGAAGAAUGGGCAGGUGAAGACGUGCAGGUUCAUGGAAGGAUGGGCAGGUGAACAUGUGAAGGUUCAUGGAAGGAUGGGCAGGUGAACAUGUGAAGGUUCAUGGAAGGAUGGGCAGGUGAACAUGUGAAGGUUCAUGGAAGGAUGGGCAGGUGAAGACGUGAAGGUACAUGGAAGGAUGGGCAGGUGAAGACAUGCAGGUUCAUGGAAGGAUGGGCA